AUUGAACGCUGGCGGCAUGCCUUACACAUGCAAGUCGAACGGUAACAGGUCUUCGGAUGCUGACGAGUGGCGAACGGGUGAGUAAUACACCGGAACGUGCCCAGUCGUGGGGGAUAACGAAGCGAAAGCUUUGCUAAUACCGCAUACGAUCUACGGAUGAAAGCGGGGGAUCGCAAGACCUCGCGCGAUUGGAGCGGCCGAUGGCAGAUGAGGUAGUUGGUGGGGUAAAGGCUUACCAAGCCUACGAUCUGUAGCUGGUCUGAGAGGACGACCAGCAACACUGGGACGGGGACACGGCCCAGACUCCUACGGGAGGCCGCAGUGGGGAAUUUUGGACAAUGGGCGCAAGCCUGAUCCAGCAAUGCCGCGUGCAGGAUGAAGGCCUUCGGGUUGUAAACUGCUUUUGUACGGAACGAAAAGCUCUGGGUUAAUACCCUGGGGUCAUGACGGUACCGUAAGAAUAAGCCCCGGCAAACUUCGUGCCAGCAGCCGCCGUAA
rnacentral:rRNA from 1 species